rnacentral:rRNA from 1 species
UACAGAGGUGGCAAGCGUUGCUCGGAAUCACUGGGCGUAAAGCGCACGUAGGCGGAUCUUUAAGUCAGGGGUGAAAUCCUGGAGCUCAACUCCAGAACUGCCUUUGAUACUGAAGAUCUUGAGUUCGGGAGAGGUGAGUGGAACUGCGAGUGUAGAGGUGAAAUUCGUAGAUAUUCGCAAGAACACCAGUGGCGAAGGCGGCUCACUGGCCCGAUACUGACGCUGAGGCACGAAAGCGUGGGGAGCAAACAGG